rnacentral:rRNA from 1 species
UACAGAGGUGGCAAGCGUUGUCCGGAAUCACUGGGUGUAAAGGGAGCGUAGACGGCUGAGCAAGCCUGAAGUGAAAGGCGGGGGCCCAACCCCCGGACUGCUCUGGAAACUGUGUAACUGGAGUGCAGGAGAGGCAGGCGGAAUUCCUAGUGUAGCGGUGAAAUGCGUAGAUAUUAGGAGGAACACCAGUGGCGAAGGCGGCCUGCUGGACUGUAACUGACGCUGAGGCUCGAAAGCGUGGGGAGCAAAUAGG